ensembl:lncRNA
GCCAUAAAUAUAUAUAAAAAAAAACACUGGAUAACAUGGAUAUUAAUCUACAAUCCAUUGAAAACAAAUCUUAAAUGCAUAGCAUUGUCUGGCAGUGAUGAGGAAGUUCACAACCUGCACGUGAAGCUUGUGAAUGACGACUACAGUAGGCAGAACAAUGAAGCACUUGCACAGCAUGCAGUGGAGAAGAAAGAAGAAGCUCAGCGUGUGUCAGAAAGACAGACUUCGAGCAGACAGAACAGAGAAUGCUUAGAUCACUGGCUCUCUGAAGACACCGGUACGAGCCGAGCUGAAACAUGGUACCACAGGAGGAGACUUUUUGAUUAUCUUGAAAGCUCGACACAUUCAUGAAACUAUUCAGUAUCAAUUAAUUCAGUACUGCAGUUUGCCUGACCCCUUGGGGUUUGGAAUAAUGACAACAUGUCUGUCACACUACAAAAACACAUCUGAAGUCAUAUAAUGGAUUUGUGUGAUAAACAAAACAAUUGUCAUUUCAUUAUUGUAAUUCUUCUGAUUAUUUCAAUGUAUCAUUCAAAUUCAAUGGGUCCAAGUUAGACAUCAGAUGUCAUGACGAAACAUCAUUCUUGUCAAACCUGAUGUGACGCAUCUAAUGCUGACAUGUUUGAUUUCAAAGCUGCAGCUGAGGGAAAGAUUUAUGGUAUUUAGGGGUGCGCGA